CUACGGGAGGCAGCAGUGAGGAAUAUUGCACAAUGGGGGGAACCCUGAUGCAGCAACGCCGCGUGGAGGAUGACGCAGUACGGUGUGUAAACUCCUUUUAUAUGUCAAGAAAAUGACGGUAGCAUAUGAAUAAGCACCGGCUAACUCCGUGCCAGCAGCCGCGGUAAUACGGAGGGUGCAAGCGUUACUCGGAAUCACUGGGCGUAAAGGACGCGUAGGCGGGUUGGAAAGUCAGGUGUGAAAUCCUACAGCUUAACUGUAGAACUGCACUUGAAACUUCUAAUCUAGAGUAUGGGAGGGGGAGAUGGAAUUAGUGGUGUAGGGGUAAAAUCCGUAGAUAUCACUAGGAAUACCUAAAGCGAAGGCGAUCUCCUGGAACAUUACUGACGCUAAGGCGUGAAAGCGUGGGGAGCAAACAGGAUUAGAUACCCCCGUAGUC
rnacentral:rRNA from 1 species